UUUGCAAAGCAGUAGAGGCCACCACAAGUGCAUAACCCGCCAUAGCUCGAUAUUCAUCCCGGGUCCGGACGAGUCUAAAACUAACACCACUUAAUCAAACUAAAAUCCACAACUUAAUAUCAUUGUCCUUCCAUGAUUAGCUUGCUUGUAUAUUUACUUCUUUCUAAUUGCUUGUAUGCCUAUUCUACUAUGUUUAAUUGUAAUUGAUUUGUUUUCAUUUGAAUUCUAGCUUACCCUUGCAUGUGUGUUGUCUGUUUUGUUUGUGGUUGUUCCUUCUGCAAUGAUCAUCCAAUUAUGGAUGUGAGCAGAGGUAGGAGAGGCACCUUUGGAGCAGAUCUUAGAGGACCCUGAUGUUCCAGUCACUGCUGAUGUUGUAGAGUAGUGUAGCUCAGUUAU
rnacentral:lncRNA from 1 species